rnacentral:rRNA from 1 species
GACGAACGCGGCGGCGUGCCUAAUACAUGCAAGUAGAACGCUGAAGAGAGGAGCUUGCUCUUCUUGGAUGAGUUGCGAACGGGUGAGUAACGCGUAGGUAACCUGCCUGGUAGCGGGGGAUAACUAUUGGAAACGAUAGCUAAUACCGCAUAAAAUUGAUUAUUGCAUGAUAAUUAAUUGAAAGAUGCAAUUGCAUCACUACCAGAUGGACCUGCGUUGUAUUAGCUAGUUGGUGAGGUAACGGCUCACCAAGGCGACGAUACAUAGCCGACCUGAGAGGGUGAUCGGCCACACUGGGACUGAGACACGGCCCAGACUCCUACGGGAGGCAGCAGUAGGGAAUCUUCGGCAAUGGGGGGAACCCUGACCGAGCAACGCCGCGUGAGUGAAGAAGGUUUUCGGAUCGUAAAGCUCUGUUGUAAGAGAAGAACGGGUGUGAGAG